CAGCUUCCUCCUCAUUGCGGGUUUUUCGCCCCGGUCGUUCGUUGCCUGGCCUGCCUACCCUUGCUCUGGGUAUUGAUCGGUUCCCCGGAUCUGCUCGUUCGGCUCUUGCCCCGGCUCUCUGCCCGGCAAGCCGCCUUUGCUGGGUGCGGUGCGCUACCGCGGCGCCGGUCGGUUAAUUCCGCCGGCGGCUCGGGGCUGCUGCGCCGACCCAAUAUCGGUACUCUCGGGUGCGGUUGAACGUGUGGUCAUUGGGGUCUCCUCGAGGCGCCCUCUGUUCCGAACACGAUGAGGUCGUCGGUCUGGCCCCGGAUAUCGCUCGGAGCGGCGCGGUGCUACGGCCCGUCGCCGCUGCCGACGCCGGUGCUGCGCUACCUGGUUGAUCCUGCCAGUAGUCAUAUGCUUGUCUCAAAGAUUAAGCCAUGCA
rnacentral:misc_RNA from 1 species